rnacentral:rRNA from 1 species
GAUUUCUGGUUCGGCGCACUUGGCCCGCCUCGGUUUACGGGGUCGCGUGCCGGUGUGCGCCAUCCAUCCUUCGGAACAUCGUAUCUACCCUUCACUGGGCCGGAUGCGUUAUUCCGAUCUUUUACUUUGAAAAAAUUAGAGUGUUUAAAGCAGGCUUAUCGCUAUGAAUACAUUAGCAUGGAAUAAUAAUUUAGGACUUCGGUUCUAUUUUGUUGGUUUCUAGGACUGAAGUAAUGAUUGAUAGGGAUAGUUGGGGGUGCUAGUAUUCAGCGGCCAGAGGUGAAAUUCUCGGAUUCGCUGAAGACUAACUUAUGCGAAAGCAUU